rnacentral:rRNA from 1 species
GACGAACGCUGGCGGCGUACUUAACACAUGCAAGUCGAACGGAAAGGCCCUGCUUUUGUGGGGUGCUCGAGUGGCGAACGGGUGAGUAACACGUGAGUAACCUGCCCUUGACUUUGGGAUAACUUCAGGGAACUGGGGCUAAUACCGGAUAGGAGCUCCUGCUGCAUGGUGGGGGUUGGAAAGUUUCGGCGGUUGGGGAUGGACUCGCGGCUUAUCAGCUUGUUGGUGGGGUAGUGGCUUACCAAGGCUUUGACGGGUAGCCGGCCUGAGAGGGUGACCGGCCACAUUGGGACUGAGAUACGGCCCAGACUCCUACGGGAGGCAGCAGUGGGGAAUAUUGCACAAUGGGCGGAAGCCUGAUGCAGCAACGCCGCGUGCGGGAUGACGGCCUUCGGGUUGUAAACCGCUUUCGCCUGUGACGAAGCGUGAGUGACGGUAAUGGGUAAAGAAGCACCGGCUAACUACGUG